rnacentral:lncRNA from 1 species
AUGUGGAUUGAGGAGCAGAGAAGAUCCUUCUGUUCCUUCCUUCCUUCCUUCCUUCCUCCCCUUCUCCCCUCCCGAAUGCCAUGCCAGGGGAACCUCUUGGCCAGCCCCUUUCUUGGCUCUCAUUGGAUCCUACUGGCUCCUCUCAUGAAUCCCUCCCCACGGUGUGUCCUUCCUUUUCUACCUUGCAGUUUGUCCUUAGUGGCGUUUCCUGUCUCUCUCUCUGAUUUUGCUCCUGAAACUUCUCCAGGAGGCAGGCCUUUCCCUCUGUUGGGACAUGGAAAUCAGAUGGGUGUGUUUUACUAAGCAUCCUCUUUCAGCUACUUCUCAAGGAGGCGCUUCCAUGAGGAACAGGGAGGAGGGAGCGAAACUCUGUGAUCCUGCCAGAGCCACUGACUAACUGACUAACGAUGCCACCGAUGCCACCGAGACUGCCCCAAGCCUCUAGCCCUCUGUCCCCAAUUGAGGUUCCCACCGCUGUGUUCCCCACCAAGACCUGCCAGCCAGGUAAACAUGCAGUCUGCAACUCCAGUUACUCUAUAACGACAUGAUUUGCUUGUCUGGACAAAGAGCCUGCUGUCCCAGAGCUGGGUCUACCUGGAGACAGGAAGUGGCCCCAGACCAGUCAGUCAUCCCUCCAGGGAGGUGAGGCCUCUCGUCUGGGAGCUCAGUGAUGGUGUUUGUGGGCUGUUGGGAAUGUGUGGCUAGAGUAAAUUCUGAGCCGCCACUUUGGCUCUGCUCACAUCGUGCUGUGCAUGGUCAAAUACCCCAGCUGCUCACAGCAGAUGUGCAAGACAGCUAGGAGCCUGAGGAGGAUAGGGACUGGAGAGAUGGGUACAGAGGGCCAGCUGGUUCCCAGGACUCCCAAACUGCUACUGGAUAGCUGGAAAUUCCUCUUGAUUAACAUUUGGGAUGUGAUUUUUUUUUUAAAGCAAUGUGUUCAUUUAAGUAAAAUUUCACUCUAACAAAACGACGGAAGGAUUAUAUUCGUUGUUUUUAGUGAUACUUAGUUUUUGUAAUUUAACUAUUUGCAUUCUAACCCCACGAUCAAAAUUAGCCUGACUGUGCAGUUUGUGAAUUUUACCCUAACUCAGAAAACAGUAUUCAUUCCCUAGGAUGCCCUGGGCAGAAGGGAGUGCUGUUUCUCUGGGGGAAAGCAGAGGUCCAUCUGCCUCUGCCUCCCAAACACUGGGAUUAAAUGUGUGUGUACCACCAUGCCCAGCUGGCCAAAACCAUUCAUUUUGUAGUACUGGGAUUGAGACAGGAUCUUACUACAUAGUCCUGGCUAGCUUGGAGCUCACUGUGUAGACCAGGCUGGUCUUGGCUUUGUAAUGAUCUUCCUGCUUCAGCUUCCUGACUGUAAGGAUUACAGACAUAAACUAUGUCCAGCUAGUAGGGACAUUCUGUACCUCCUGGUUUUAAUGCAUGUUCCUGUCCACGGUGUUCUUUUUUCUUAAAAUGCCUCCCCCCACCUUGUACUGGCUAGUUUUGUGUCAACUUAACACAACUGGAGUUAUCACAGAGAAAGGAGCUUCAGUUGGGGAAAUGCCUCCAUGAGAUCCAACUGUAAGGCAUUUUCUCAAUUAGUGAUCAAGGGGGAAAGGCCCCUUGUGGGUGAUGCCAUCUCUGGGCUGGCAGUCUUGGGUUCUAUAAGAGAGCAGGCUGAGUAAGCCAGGGGAAGCAAGCCAGUAAAGAACAUCCCUCCAUGGCCUCUGCAUCAGCUCCUGCUUUCUGACGUGCUUGAGUUUCAGUCCUGACUUCCUUAGUGAUGAACAGCAGUAUGGAAGUGUAAGCCGAAUAAACCCUUUUCUCCCCAACUUGCUUCUUGGUCA